rnacentral:lncRNA from 1 species
AAGGAAAUAUCCUCAAUUAAAAACAUCAGAGAAGCUUUCUGAGAAACUUUUUUGUGAUGUGUGAAUUCGUCUCACGGAUUUACACGUUUCUCUCCAUGAAGCAGUUUCUUAACACCGUUUUCGUGGAAUCUGCAAAGUGAUAUUUGGGAGCGCAUUGAGGCCUGUGGUAACAAAAAGGAAAUAUCCUCAGAUGAAAACCAGAAAGAAGGUUUCUGAGAAACUGCUAUCUGAUGUGUGAAUUCAUCUCUCAGAGAUACACUUUCCUUUCAUGGAGCAUUCUGUUCCCACUCUUUUUGUUGAAUCUGGGAAGGGAUAUUUGGGAUCACUAUGACGUCUAUACGGACAAAGGAAAUACCCUCAGAUAAAAAUCAGAGAGAACCUUUCUGAGAAACUAGUUUGUGAUAGGUGAAUUCAUCUCACAGAGUUACACCUUUCUCUUCAUGAAACAGUUUGCUAACACUGUGUUCGUGGAAUCUGCAAGGUGAUAUUUGGGAGCGCAUUGAGGCUUGUGGCGAAAAAGGAAAUAUCUUCAGAUGAAAACAUGAAAGAAGCGUUCUGAGAAACUGCGUUGUGAUGCGUGAAUGCAACUCACGGAGUUACACUUUUCUUUUCAUUGAUCAGUUUGCCAACACUGUUUUCUUAAAAUCUGCAAUGGGAUAUUUCUUAGUGCCAUGAAGCUUACGGUGACAAAGGAAAUAUCCUCUGAGAAAAACGAGAAAGAAGCUUUGUGAGAAACUGCUUUGUGAUGUGUGAAUUCAUGUCACAGAGGUACACAUGUAUUUUGUGGAGCCGUUUGCUAGAACUGUUUUUGUGGAAUCUGAGAAGAGAUAUUUUGGAUCGCAUUGAGGCCUGUGGUGAAAAAGGAAAUAUCCUCAGAUGAAAACUAGAAAGAAGGUUUCUGAGAAACUGCUAUCUGAUGUGUGAAUUCAUCUCACAGAGAUACACUUUUCUUUCAUGGAGCAUUCUGUUACUAGUCUUUUUUUUGAAUCUGGGAAGGGAUAUUUGAGAUGGCCAUGAAGACUAUACGGACAAAGGAAAUAUCCUCAAUUAAAAACGUGAAAGAAGCUUUCUGCGAAACUGCUCUGUGAUGUGUGAAUUCAUUUCACAGAGUUUCAGCAAUUUGAAAUGGCUGUUUUUGUGGAAUCCACGAAGGUUCAUUUGGGAACGCUAUGAGAAAUAUGGUUGAAAAGGAAGCGUCCUCGGAUGAAAACUAGAAGGAAGCUUUCAGUGAAACUUCUUUGUGAUGUGUGCAUUCCACUCUAAGAGUUAACACUCUCUUUUCAGAGAGCAGUGAAGAAACACUUUUGGUGUCAAGGCUACCAAGGGAUAUUUCGAAGCGCUUUGAAGCCAAUGGUGAGAAAGGAAAUAUCCUCAGAAACAAACUGGAAAAAAACUUUC